rnacentral:rRNA from 1 species
AAAAGCCUCGUACGUGACCUGCGGAGGAUCAUUACAAGUUGAAACGGUUGCCCUCGCGGUGACCGGUUCUUCAAACCUCUGCGUACCAAACCUUUCAGUUGCCUCCGGGGCCCUGGGCCGACGCGGCGCGCGACCUCCCCGUUCGCGGGGGGGCCGCUCCUCGCGGCGGACCACCCGCCGGGCGGUCAUAAACAAAACCUUUUGUCGAGAUGGCAUCGUCUAAUUUCUUCAUAACACAAUAUGAAAUACAACUUUUAACAAUGGAUCUCUUGGCUCCGGCAUCGAUGAAGAACGCAGCGAAAUGCGAUAACUAGUGUGAAUUGCAGAUUUCAGUGAAUCAUCGAGUCUUUGAACGCACAUUGCGCCUCUUGGUAUUCCUCGAGGCAUGCCUGUUCGAGCGUCGUUACGCCCCUCAAGCGCAAGCUUGGUGUUGGGGAUCGCCCCUGAGAUACGGCGGCGGCCCUUAAAUGCAUCGGCGGUGCUGGUGUCAGCCCGGAGCGCAGCAGACAUGCGGCUUCUAGGCGACCACGCGCCCGCCGGACAACGACCCGACUUUCAAACGUCGACCUCGGAUCAGGUAGGGAUACCCGCUGAACUUAAGCAUAUCAAUAAGCCGGAAGGAA